rnacentral:lncRNA from 1 species
GUGGGAUACUUAAGAAGGAUCUACGCUCAAGGGAAGAGGGGCGACACCAAAAGGGAAGAGACCAAUGGAAGAAGAAGGCUCUUCUCUUCUCACGCCUCUCUCUCUCUUUCUCUCUUCUCCAAUCUGAUUGUUUACUAUUUUUUAUGUAUCCAUAGAUAGAGACCCUCUUUAUUUAUAGAUGAAUCUCAUGACGUAAUAAGUAUAAGAGUCCUAACUCAAAUUUGAUUUGAAUCAAUCUAAUACUUAUGAAAGAAGGAUUCC